rnacentral:rRNA from 1 species
CCUACGGGGUGCAGCAGUAGGGAAUAUUGCUCAAUGGGGGAGACCCUGAAGCAGCAACGCAGCGUGGAGGAUGAAGGUCUUCGGAUUGUAAACUUCUUUUGUUAGAGAAGAUAAUGACGGUAUCUAACGAAUAAGCACCGGCGAACUCCGUGCCAGCAGCCACGGUAAUACGGAGGGUGCAAGCGUUAUGCGGAAUCACUGGGCGUAAAGGGCGCGUAGGCGGGUUAGCAAGUCAGAUGUGAAAUCCUAGGGCUUAACCAUAGAACUGCAUUUGAAACUGUUAUUCUAGAGUAUGGGAGAGGUAGGUGGAAUUCUUGGUGUAGCGGUGAAAUCCGUAGAGAUCAAGAAGAAUACUCAUUGCGAAGGCAGCCUACUAGAACAUGACUGACGCUGAUGCGCGAAAGCGUGGGGAGCAAACAGGAUUAGAUACCCUUGUAGUC